GUAGGUGGCAAGCGUUGUCCGGAAUUAUUGGGCGUAAAGCGCGCGCAGGUGGUUCUUUAAGUCUGAUGUGAAAGCCCCCGGGCUCAACCGGGGAGGGUCAUUGGAAACUGGGGAACUUGAGUGCAGGAGAGGAAAGUGGAAUUCCACGUGUAGCGGUGAAAUGCGUAGAUAUGUGGAGGAACACCAGUGGCGAAGGCGACUUUCUGGCCUGUAACUGACACUGAGGCGCGAAAGCGUGGGGAGCAAACAGGAUUAGAUACCCUGGUAGUCCACGCCGUAAACGAUGAGUGCUAAGUGUUGGGGGGUUUCCGCCCCUCAGUGCUGCAGCUAACGCAUUAAGCACUCCGCCUGGGGAGUACGGUCGCAAAGACUAA
rnacentral:rRNA from 1 species